rnacentral:lncRNA from 1 species
AUCCUUUGGCAUUUGAGAGUUGCUUUGUGUAUACAGCCCUUUAACGGAGUAAAUGGCCAGCCAGGAAACCAAAAUAUGGACAAGGAAAAAGAAGCAUCUGUGGAGGAAGUUUUACAAGCGGCCCUCCUCAUCCAUGUUGUUGGCUAUGCCCAUAUGCUACAUGUCUGUGGACCACUAUGUGUGUUUGAGGGUGCCUCAAAAGUGACAGAGGGUGUAGAAAGCUUGUUAGUAAAAUGCUACUAAAAA